AUGGGUAUCACACAACAGGCCAAGUCAGUCUGGAAAAUGAUGCCAUGUUUUGAAGGAAGCAAAGUGUACUUGUGUAUAUCUUUACAAGAAAUAGAUAACAUCAAGAACUUCGGGAGUGGGAGAGAUUGGACAGGGAGACUCAGCAGAUAUUUUUCUCUCUCCUGCCAAGAAGGAACCUGCUGCCUCAACUACCCUCCUGACUGGCUUCCCUCCCUCAGUUUGUCCAUUCCAAACUGAAGCUUUCUAAAAGGAAAUGUUACCAUGUUACUCAGCUGUUUGAAAUCCUUCUGUGACUCUCUAGGGCACGUUAAAUCCAACCGUAGAGCAGCAUACACUGCACUUUUGGGACCUAGCCUUUGUUUCUACUUCUGACCUCCAAGCCUGUUUACACACACACACACACACACACACACACACACACACAAAGAGUUCUCCAGCCAUAGUGAAAUAUUGUCAGUCCUCAAAAUGCCAUGUUCUCGUAUUCUCAUGUCUACCCACGUUCUCUUCCUCUUGCUUAGAUUUCUCUUAUUCUCUAGAAAGCCUCAUAAACUUCAACCUUAACUUCAAGACUGUACUUAAAUACAGACGUUUCUGUAAAAUAGAAACUUUGCCUCUCAAUUAGAGCAUGUCAGGGAGGCUCUUCUUUAUAUGCUUCUGUAGUAGUUCCCUGUGCAUAUUCUACUGAUGAACACAGGUUAUCAUUGUGUUACAUGCUGUGUCCCCCAGAGAUGGUAUUUGAAAUAGGUUCUAUAUAUUGUCUUUUUUCCCCAUUGCCUCAUAAAGUGCUGAGCAAAUAAUAAUCAAAGCUUUAAAAAAUGUCUAUUGGGUAAGUAAGAGAAAAAAAAAACACAACUCUAAUGAGUAUAAGGGAUCGCUCAAAAAAUACGUUUUGAGGACAAAGACUGUCAGGUAAAAUAUGUGGGGAUAAACUAUCAAGUGUUAAUUUUGUCCUAUUUCUAGGGUACCCUAAUUUAGCAACAAAACUCACAAGAAUCACUGUAUUCUGGAGACCCACUUGCCCAAGCAGAGUGGGAAAUGGUACUACAGCAGGAUAUAGCAAUUUGCCAAACCACACGUCUUCAUUAUGACGCUUGUAGGGGAGGGGCUAGUAUCCCCAAAUUCUACAUGAAUUCAUAAUGAUGUUGUAGAUAAAGUACUGUAGGUGCAGUGACUUGGCAGGGGCUUCUCAUUAGUGGCGUCCCAAUAUGCUAUGUCCUCUGAUUCCAGAGCAUCACUUUGGCUAAUAGACUAACUACAUGAUUGAAAGCCAAAAUUCCACUAUUUUUGAUAAUUGGGAAGAGUAUUUUGUGCCAUAUGUAUUCAUAAUGCAACUGGUAAUUUAUGUAUUUGAAAAUGGAGAUUUUUUUGUUUAAGUAUAAACUAAAUAGUAUAAAUCUUCAUUGAUUUUCAAGUUUUAUUGCUUACAUUCAAAUGUGUGCAUGUUUGGGGAGAUGGUUUUGCAGUGGGCUAAGAAAUGAUACCAGAAGAAACAAAACAAAACCAACAACAACAACAAAUAAAAACUGUACAUGAAAGAAUUUCCUAAGAACA
ensembl:lncRNA